AGACCCGAAACCCGGUGAUCUAGCCAUGGGCAGGUUGAAGGUUGGGUAACACUAACUGGAGGACCGAACCGACUAAUGUUGAAAAAUUAGCGGAUGACCUGUGGCUGGGGGUGAAAGGCCAAUCAAACCGGGAGAUAGCUGGUUCUCCCCGAAAGCUAUUUAGGUAGCGCCUCGUGAAUUCAUCUCCGGGGGUAGAGCACUGUUUCGGCUAGGGGGCCAUCCCGGCUUACCAACCCGAUGCAAACUGCGAAUACCGGAGAAUGUUAUCACGGGAGACACACGGCGGGUGCUAACGUCCGUCGUGAAGAGGGAAACAACCCAGACCGCCAGCUAAGGUCCCAAAGUCAUGGUUAAGUGGGAAACGAUGUGGGAAGGCCCAGACAGCCAGGAUGUUGGCUUAGAAGCAGCCAUCAUUUAAAGAAAGCGUAAUAGCUCACUGGUCGAGUCGGCCUGCGCGGAAGAUGUAACGGGGCUAAACCAUGCACCGAAGCUGCGGCAGCGAACGUAUCACCCAAGACAACUUUACGGAGUUGACGAUUGACGGAGCGAAGCGACGUCAAAGCGUUCAUUAAAGUCGAGUUGGCUUAGGGAUACGUUCGUUGGGUAGGGGAGCGUUCUGUAAGCCUGUGAAGGUGUGUCGUGAGGCAUGCUGGAGGUAUCAGAAGUGCGAAUGCUGACAUAAGUAACGAUAAAGCGGGUGAAAAGCCCGCUCGCCGGAAGACCAAGGGUUCCUGUCC
rnacentral:rRNA from 2 species